GGCUCCCUAGCUCAACUGAAUAGAGCAUCUGACUACGGAUCAGAAGGUUGUGGGUUUGAAUCCCGCGGGAGUCACAA
rnacentral:tRNA from 3 species